rnacentral:rRNA from 1 species
UACGUAGGCAGCAAGCGUUGUUCGGAGUUACUGGGCGUAAAGGGUGUGUAGGCGGUUGGUUAAGUUUGGUGUGAAAUCUCCCGGCUCAACUGGGAGGGUGCGCCGAAUACUGAGUGACUCGAGUGCGGGAGAGGAAAGUGGAAUUCCUGGUGUAGCGGUGAAAUGCGUAGAUAUCAGGAGGAACACCGGUGGUGUAGACGGCUUUCUGGACCGUAACUGACGCUGAGACACGAAAGCGUGGGUAGCAAACAGG